AGAGUUUGAUCCUGGCUCAGAACGAACGCUGGCGGCGCGCCUAAUACAUGCAAGUCGAGCGAGAAGACGUAGCAAUACGUUUGUAAAGCGGCGAACGGGUGAGGAAUACAUGGGUAACCUACCCUCGAGUGGGGAAUAACUAACCGAAAGGUUAGCUAAUACCGCAUACGGCUCCUGGUCUGCGGAUCGGGAGGGAAAGCGAUACCGUGGGUAUCGCGCUCUUGGAUGGGCUCAUGUCCUAUCAGCUUGUUGGUGAGGUAACGGCUCACCAAGGCUUCGACGGGUAGCUGGUCUGAGAGGACGAUCAGCCACACUGGCACUGCGACACGGGCCAGACUCCUACGGGAGGCAGCAGUAAGGAAUAUUGCGCAAUGGGCGACAGCCUGACGCAGCGACGCCGCGUGGGGGAUGAAGGUCUUCGGAUUGUAAACCCCUUUCGGCAGGGAAGAUGGAACGGGUAACCGUUCGGACGGUACCUGCAGAAGCAGCCACGGCUAACUUCGUGCCAGCAGCCGCGGUAAUACGAAGGUGGCAAGCGUUGUUCGGAUUUACUGGGCGUACAGGGAGCGUAGGCGGUUGGGUAAGCCCUCCGUGAAAUCUCCGGGCCUAACCCGGAAAGUGCGGAGGGGACUGCUCGGCUAGAGGAUGGGAGAGGAGCGCGGAAUUCCCGGUGUAGCGGUGAAAUGCGUAGAGAUCGGGAGGAAGGCCGGUGGCGAAGGCGGCGCUCUGGAACAUUUCUGACGCUGAGGCUCGAAAGCGUGGGGAGCAAACAGGAUUAGAUACCCUGGUAGUCCACGCCU
rnacentral:rRNA from 1 species